AUAAAACUGAAAAACGUCACGAAAUUAAGGUAACAAUUUUUGUGGACAUUUCUGAGUAGAAUGGAGGUAAAAUAGAGAAGUUAGAAUACCUUAAAUCAAAUAAUUUGGCUACCUAAUAA